GGCCUCGUGGCCUAAUGGCUAGGGCGCUAGAUUUCGGUUAUCAUACUGCACUCUAGAGAUUGUCGGUUCGAGUCCGGCCGAGGUCG